UGCAGUCGAACGAUGAUCCCAGCUUGCUGGGGGAUUAGUGGCGAACGGGUGAGUAACACGUGAGUAACCUGCCCUUGACUCUGGGAUAAGCCUGGGAAACUGGGUCUAAUACCGGAUAUGACUCCUCAUCGCAUGGUGGGGGGUGGAAAGCUUUUGUGGUUUUGGAUGGACUCGCGGCCUAUCAGCUUGUUGGUGGGGUAAUGGCCUACCAAGGCGACGACGGGUAGCCGGCCUGAGAGGGUGACCGGCCACACUGGGACUGAGACACGGCCCAGACUCCUACGGGAGGCAGCAGUGGGGAAUAUUGCACAAUGGGCGCAAGCCUGAUGCAGCGACGCCGCGUGAGGGAUGACGGCCUUCGGGUUGUAAACCUCUUUCAGUAGGGAAGAAGCGUAAGUGACGGUACCUGCAGAAGAAGCGCCGGCUAACUACGUGCCAGCAGCC
rnacentral:rRNA from 1 species